CUCUGUAACACUGUCCAGCUCAUAGACGUCGUCGGCCUCCCCGUCGAAAUUAAGCACCUCCCCUCCGGUAAAGUCCUCGCCGUCAAGAAAUCCGCCACCAACACCACUUGGAUAAGCUUGACAUUUUGGGAUGAUCUGGCGCAUGUUGCGUUCCAGCAUUUAGAGAAAGGGCCAUCAGAUAUAUGUCUCUGGGAGACUGAUUUCGGAUACUGUCGAAAACAAUGAGGGCAAGCAGCAGACUUACUAUAAGCAGCUGAAUUUUUUGGAGAAGAGCUCCCCAUCGGCGGUGAAUGGUCAGGACUCGGAUUCCUUCACACCAGGCAGAAGUUCUGGUCACAGCUUUACCAAGCACACAGAAACCACACAGGAAUUGUGGCAAGCGUUCUUUGCUAGUCCGGGAGAGUGGUGGGAUAAUAGGAAGACCAAGAGGAAUUCAAAAUAUCCAGAUUUCAAGCACAAAGACACCGGAGAAGCCUUGUGGAUUGAAGGGCGAAACAAUCCACCAUGGGUGAAGUCUCAACUUGCUAUACUAGAUACAAGGAUGGGGACGGCUAAUGAUCAAGAUCAUAUGACACAUUCAAACCUAUUUACUGAUGAUAACUUUUUUUAAGUGCUGGAAGAGCUAGCUAUAGGAAACGGUUAUGAAGGGGGAUGAUUGUUGUAUAUUAUCACUUGUUCAAGAUACUGAAAUCUGUAGUAUGUAAACUUUCCCAAUUACUCGAUAUUCUUUUUAUUAGUUUGUUGUACUAAUUUAAAGUUUGGAGCUUCACUGAAGGUGAGGUCUCAGAUCAUUUCCAGGCGUUUUGGUUUUACUGCUUG